ensembl:lncRNA
CUGGGGGUCACAUUUGUUGCAUCCUUUGGGAUGAGGCAGAAAACACCACAGCACUCAGUGCCCCAUCUCCGUUUCAUUGUCCUCCCCGCACCCAAACGUGGUUUGUUUUUAGCCCGGGAAGGCGGUGGGGUGGGGGGGAGGGAUGAGGCUGAUUAUUAAAUGCCAUCGGCUCCAAUUAAUCCCCCAAAUUGACUCAGAGGUACCACGGCGCCCAUUCCGGUGAAUGUUUUGCCAUCUUUCAGUGCUGCUCUGCAGAUCCGACCCAUAGCAGCCAUGGACAGACCCAACGGAUCAGAUGUGAUCCCAAACGCGAUGGCAGUGAGCCCGGGCUAGGAAAGCAGAGAUCCCAAACCCACCCCGUUGGGCACAUCGUGCUGCACCAGCGCCGCUCUGCAGAAGGCAGCUGGAGGCUCUGCCCCUAUCCCAGCGCCGGCUGUGGGGGAUUUACCAGCACCAGCACGGCCCUUUGCUUUGCUUUCCGAACGAAAGUAAAGCGGAGCAGUUUGCAGAAGGUUCUCAUUAGGGAAACAUCUGGAGUCAGCCCUUCUCCCCCAAAGGGCAGCGGAGUGCUCGGAGGAAUCGGGGGAGGAGGAGGGAUGGAUGGCUGAGGCGUGUUUCGGCGUGCUGCCGGGGCAGGGACCCAAGGAAGGUCCCAGCAGCGCUCCCAGCAUCUGUCCCAGCGCCCGGGGGUGCCCGGAUCUGUCCGCUGGGAUGGAUGGGGUAAGGAUGCUCCCGGUCCCUUGAGGGACACGGGCUGGUGGCGCUGCCGUCGGGGGACGUCACCCCCUCCUCCGGGUGCCCUUCCCGCUGCCUUUGGGCGCUCACUGCGGAGGAGCGCGGGUCCGGAGCGGCGCAGUGCGUAGCGCGCGGGGUACGUCCCGCAGAUGGGACCGUCCCCUCUCCUGUCCCCAUCACACAGGCUGUAGUGACAUCUGCUGGGCUCUCACUGGGGAAGUCCCGCGGAACCCGCACGGCACGGACCCUCCGGCGCCGCACAGACCCGGAUGGCAGCGCUUCCCCUCGUCCUGGGAGAAACGACGGAUGUCUGACGGCCGCGGUGUGCCCCGACGUGCCGCCGUUGCUGCGAGGGCGUCGCUGUCCGUAUACGGAUGCCGUGCUGCGCCUCAUUAUGCAAAUAGAAGCAAUUAGAGCUCACCCAGGCUCUGCCCACGUGAUGGUUUAUGGCACUCGCAGAAAUCCUUCCUGCUACAUGAGGAGAAUGACAACGGCCCCGGGCUGCAGCCAGCGCACCCCAACCGCGGGGAGCUGAUGGCGGUGCCUUUGGUGGAGCCCCACAUCAGGGACCGACCCCAUCACUGCUGCCCAGAAGCGCCCACGGGAGGGACUGCCCAGGAGGAGCCCCCCAACCCCCCAGGUGACAUCGUGGCACUGGGGACGGCUGCAGCCCUCAGCCCCGAGG